rnacentral:rRNA from 1 species
UACAGAGGGUGCGAGCGUUAAUCGGAAUUACUGGGCGUAAAGCGUGCGUAGACGGUUAUUUAAGUCGGGUGUGAAAGCCCCGGGCUCAACCUGGGAAUUGCAUUCGAUACUGGAUCGCUAGAGUUCGGCAGAGGGAAGCGGAAUUUCGGGUGUAGCGGUGAAAUGCGUAGAUAUCCGAAGGAACAUCAGUGGCGAAAGCGGCUUCCUGGACCAGAACUGACGAUCAGGCACGAAAGCGUGGGGAGCAAACAGG